GAUUUUUUAGGGCUACAUAAUUGAACAGCGUUAAAUACGCGAGAACAUGAUGGACUUCGAGGACUUGAAGACGGAGUUAAGAAGCCAUUGUCGGAAGAUGAACGGUUUGUAUUUAUAGAAGAAGCAUCAGGUUUCUCCUUGGGUUCACACAUCAACAUACUUGGCUGAAUCAGAGAUUUUGUAAAAUCAUUUAAUUCACUUAACGAGUCACUGUU